GCUGGACGUGGUGGCACAUGCCUGUAGUCCCAGCUACUUGGGAGGCUGAGGCUGGAGAAUCUCUUUAGUCCAGGAGCUCUGGGCUGUAGUGUGCUAUGCCGAUCGGAUGUCUGCACAAAGUUCAGCAUCACUAUGGUGACCUCCCGGGAGUGGGGGACCACCAGGUUGCCAAAGGAGGGAUGAACUGGCCCAAUUCGGAAACAGAGCAGGUCAAAACUCCCUGCUGAUCAGUAGUGGGAUCACGCCUGAGAACAGCCACUGCACUCCAGCCUGGGCAACAUAGUGAGACCCCGGAGUCUCU
rnacentral:SRP_RNA from 1 species